AAUAAGAUGACCCUUUAACUAGGGUUGAUGAUUUGUUUGACCAAUUGAAGGAAGCAUUUUACUUUUCUAAGAUAGACUUGAGAUCUAGAUACCAUCAAUUAGAUAUCAGGUCUGAAAAUGUACCUAAGACGACCUUUGGGACCCGACAUGAAUAGUGUGACUUCUUAAAGAGAUGCCUUUCUGAUUGAGUAAUGCACUUAUAGCAUUUAUGGAUAUUAAAAAUAGGAUGUGUUCUUAUGCAAUAUGGAAAACUGAUAGCAUAUGCUUAUAGACAACUUAAGACCUACGAAUUGAGAUAUCCUACUCAUGACCUAGAAAUUAACUGCUGUAGUAUUUGCCAUAAAGAUCGGAUAACAUUACUUGUAUGGUGAGAAAUGUGAGAUAUUUACAGAGUUUAAAAUACUUGUUUACUCAAAAAGAGUUAAAUAUGAGACAAGUGAGAUGGUUAGAAUUGAUAAAAGACUAUGACUAUAACUAGCACCCAGGGAAAGCAAAUGUAGUCGAUGAUGCAUUAAGUUGAAAAGAAAGAAUCAAUGUUUAUGUCUUUAUCAAAGCAAUUGAUUAAGGAAAUGGAAAAGUUAGGAUUAAAAAUUUAGAGUUUAAAGCAUAAGGAGGGAAGGAUCUAUGAGAUGUUAGUGCAGCCAGAGUUAAUAGAAAAAGAAACUACGUGGGAAUUAGAAGAUAAAAUGAGAAAAAAAAAAAAAAACUACUCAGAGUUGUUCAACACCAAUCGGGAUUCCGAGGACGGAAUCCUAUAAGGAGGGAAGAAUGUAACACCCGUGAAAUCUACAAGUAUGAUUAUUUAAUUUAAUUAGUUAUUGUGUAAAAAGACUAUUUUAUUAGUCUCAUUUUUAUAUUUAUAAUGUGAGAAGUAUUAAUUAAAAAUAUUAUAGCUUCGGGAAAUGCUAGAAAACACGUGGGGUCAUAUUGUGUGAGCUAGUCAUUAGUUUAAAUAUGUAUAUACGCGAGAGCUGAGUUUAUACGAAACAUAUAGUAAACGUGAAUAUUUAUUUAACAAGUCGUGAAUGAAUAUUACGUAUUAACCGAGACGAUUAUAUUAAUUUUAAAAUUUGGGGAUUGAUCUUGAAAAUAUUAAAUAUUUUAGUUAUUCAAUUAUUCUGUACGAUAUUAUGUUCGUGAUUAUUAAAAACCGAUACGAGAAUAAUAGAAAUCGAGAGUUUUUAAUUAUGCGAAGCGUUGCUUGGGAUGCAAGCAACAUUACUUGGUUGCGAAGUAAUGUUAAUUGGCGUCCAAGUAAUCAUAUAAUUAAUAAUUAAUAAUUAAUUAAAUGGUAAUUAAAGAGAUAAUUGUGAUUAGUAAAUAGUAUAAAAGCCAAAGGAAUAAAUCAAAUAUCACCGUUCUUGCACAAAACUAGAAAAGAGGUUCUGAGGAGAAGAGAAUCAGCAGGAGAGAUUUGGAGUCGCAGAAGGAAAACAAAUCAAAUACUAAGAAAAUUGAUUAGCUGGAAGGCGUGCUUGUUAGUCAACUUAAAUUGGAACGUGGUGCACUGGAAGAACUCUGGAGAAGGAUAUUCAUGCAAGGGUAAAAGUGUGAUGAACCGAAGUGCUAGACUUGAUUGGAUUUGCAAGUAGAAGUUUAAUAGAAGUAUUAUGUAAUCGAAAGAAAUAUUUGUGAACUUUUAGAAGAGUGAUGUAAGACUCUGAUGUAAGGUAAAAUAAGCCUUUAAGUUAUGUUAAAGUUUGAGAUUAUGAAGAUGUA